rnacentral:rRNA from 1 species
UACGGGGGGGCAAGCGUUGCUCGGAAUUACUGGGCGUAAGCGCACGUAGGCGGCUUUCUAAGUCGGGGUGAAAUCCUGGAGCUCAACUCCAGACUGCCUUCGAUACUGGAAGCUCGAGUCCGGGAGAGGUGAGUGGAACUGCGAGUGUAGAGGUGAAAUUCGUAGAUAUUCGCAAGAACACCAGUGGCGAAGGCGGCUCACUGGCCCGGUACUGACGCUGAGGUGCGAAAGCGUGGGAGCAACAGG